rnacentral:lncRNA from 1 species
AGUGAAGCUCAGAGUUUCCAUCUAGCCAUCUGUUGACAGCCGACCAAUCUCCAGUCUUGGAUGCCCCAGUAGCAUCUCAGGCGGAGUCUCCUGAAGUUACUUUGUAUUCACUUCCCAAAGAUGAGUACCUGGGGACUCCUGUGGGUGCUUUUGAGGCUUCCUGGGGGAGAGAUUUUCCUUUUUUGAGCCUCCCAUUGGCCACCACCUUAGUCAGCACUCUCCUUUUCUCCCCCUGUGCUUCGUGGAUCUGUGCUGCCUCCUGAUGCACCAAGUCCGUUUAUACCCAGAGCCACCGCGGCCAGUUGCUGUAUUGGUGAUGUCAUCACACCUCUCUAAAGGGACUUCUGAAGUGGGGAGUGCCUGGCAGUUCCUAAUGCCAUCAUGCAUCUUCAGCUCUUUAUUUAAAGACUAGGUGUGUAGUAAAUGCUUUUUGUUGUGAUCUGUGGAUGUGUCCCCUUGGUACUGCUGAUAUUAUGCUGUCAUAUACAUAGGGCCUACGUAUUUUAAAAUAUUUUGGUGAAAUGAUACAUUGUAUGUUUGUUGGAUCUGAAGGUAACUAGUGAGUGACAAUUUUCAGUCUGACUUAAUGUGUUGAGUAUUGUGUUAGGUGCUGGACAAGCAAAUGCAGCUCCUGCCUCAGGUUAUGGUCUAGUGGAGAGUGGGGACAUGUGUGUUCUGAGAACCACCUGGUGGAGGAGGGAUGCCAGGGUACUUUGUGAGCACAGAGGAGGGCACCUCUCCUGGGAGAGAGGGUAGUCAGGAAUGAUUUCCUGGAGGAGGCCAUUUCUUAGACAUUCUGAGUCAAGAAGAAUGAGUAGGGGUUAGCCAUGGAGAAGUGAUGUGGGGAAGGGGGAGCUCUUGAAGUGUCUUCCAGGAGAGGGAAUAGCGGGAUAAGGUGCAGAGGUGAGGAAGAUCCUGUGGUGCUCUGGACAGGUGGAGUGUCAGGAAUCAAGGCUGGAAGGGUACUUUGUUAGUUCUCCAGAGAAAUGGGACAUAAUAUAUAGAUAGAUGAGAGGGGAUUUAUUAUGGGAGUUGUCUCACAUGAUUAUUGAUAUGGUUUGGCUGUGUUCCCACCCACAUCUCAUCUUGAGUCAUAGCUCACAUAAUCCCCACGUGUCAUGGGUGGGACCCAGUAGGAGGUAAUUGAAUCAUGGGGGUGGGUUUUCCCAUGCUCUUCUUGUGACAGUGAAUAAGUCUCAUGGGAUCUGAUGUUUUCAUAAAGGGCAGUUUCCCCGCACACACUCUCUUGCCUGCUGCCAUGUAAGAUGUGCCUUUGCUCCUCCUUCAUCUUUCACCAUGAUUUUGAGGCUUUCCCAGCCGUGUGGAAAUGUGAGUCCAUUAAACCUCUUUUUCUUUAUAAAUUAUGCAGUCUUGGGUAUUUCUUCACAGCAGUAUGAAAAUGGACUAAUACAAUUAUGGAGCGUGAGAAGCCCUACCAUAUGCUGUCUGCAAGCUGGAGAGCUGCAGAGGCUGGUAGCGUGGCUCAGUCCAAGCACAGAGGCCUCAAAACCAUGGAAGCUGAUGGUAUAACUCAGUCUGAGGAUGAAGGCUUCAGAACCUGGGGGACUACAGGUGCAAGUUCUGGAGACCGAAUGCUGGAGAACCUUGAGUUCUGAUGUCCAAGAGAAGGAGAAAAAGGACUUCCCAGCUCCAGAAGAGGGAAAAAGCAAAUUUGGCUUUCCUCUGUCUUCUUGUUCUAUCUGGGUCCUCUGCUGAGUGGAUGGUACCCAAAACUUUGGGUGAGGGUAGGUCUUCCUUACCCUGUUCAUGGAUUCAAAUGCCAGUCUCUUCUGGAAACACUCUCCCAGACAUACCCAUAAAUAAAAUCUUUACCUGUUCUCUCUA